AAGACAAAGCCCUUUCCGAGAACUUCAAAUAAUCAACAACUGUCUGCCAUAACACUGUGAUAACGGGGGAAAUAUUAAACAUCAUGUUCCACGAAACAUGAUCAGAAUAUCAAAUGAGUCUCUGACAAAAAGGUGGAAAUAGACAAAAGAAAGUGGAAUAUAAAUGAGAUAAAUCAGAAAUCAGUCUCAUACCAUUAUUUUCUUGCUAUUUUCUUAAAGCAGUGGUUCUUAACCUGGGGUACGAAACCUUAAACCUGGGAGUACCAGACAUGAUAGCCAGUGCAAGGGUACUGCAUAUUUACCAUGAGAAAGUAAAACAUAUAUUUUCCUCAAUUACUUUUUAAAGUUUGUGCUGUAAACAAUUUUCUCACGUUUUCUAUGGUUUCAUAUAAUCUUGAUAUCUCGUACGGUUCGUGUUUAUUUUUAGUGUUGGUCCUGGCUCUGAUCCUUGGCUUCAGAAGUCAGUCACUUGUGUUCUCGGUUCUCACUGAGAGUGAGAGGAGCCAACGAGUACACCUCACGUAUCGGUGUGAUCAAGCUCUGGUAACUAUGUAUAAGAAACGUAAGUGGAACGACGUCUACGUUCGUUAUGGUUUUACCUGUAUGACUGAGGCAGAUGGAACUCGACGACCACACUGCAUACUCUGCAGCACAGUAUUUACAAAUGCAAAUCUCAGACCAUCAAGACUCAAUGAGCACUUCAACAAUCGGCAUGGAGGCACAGAUGCAGGACAGGACUUAAACAGCUUGAAGACCAAGCGGGAACGAUUUGGUCGUAGUGGUACCAUGUCAAAUCUAGGUUUUGUGCCAGUUGAGAAACCUUUGUUGCAAGCAUCUUAUGAAGUUCCCCUUUUGUGUGCAAAGAAGAAAAAAAAUCCCACUAUUGCAGAGGAGCUUGUUAAACCUUGUGCAUUAGAAAUGGCAUAAAUAGUGUUAGGAACAGAAGCUGAAAAGAAGCUUUUAAACAGGUAUCUCUAUCAAAUGACAUUAUCCAUUCAAGGAUUAAUGAUAUGAGUCGAGAUAUCUUGCAGUAGGUGGUAACAGACCUGCAGCUAGUCCUGUCAAAGUGAGUAUUCAGCUGGAUGAGUCAACUGACGGUAGUUUUUGUAGUCAGUUGAUGGCAUUUGUUCGCUAUGAAAAAGAGAAAGAAGUGGUGGAAGAAUUCUUAUUUUGUAAUCCUCUGAAAACUACUGCAAAAGCAAUCGAUGUGUUCAAUCUUGUGAAAGAGUUCUUCUUGGAACAUGGAAUGACUCUCAACAUGUGUGGGUCAAUUUGCACUGAUGAAGCCCCUGUCACCCCUGUCGUGCUGGGAAAUAAAUCAGGCUUUGCUACGCUGGUGAAAGAAGAGGUUCCCCAUGUAACUGUCACUCACUGAGUGUUUUAUAUUUGAUUCCUUAAAGACUUAAGGGAAUCAAAUAUAGAAUGACUGAUGGAAAGACAAGAGCAUGGGAAGUGUAUUACUAACAAUUAUAACAAAAGGAAAUAUCGCAAGCAUACCAGAAUAAAACGUUACUACAUGCCAGCGCGUUUGUUGCCAAGCUUUAAGCCUCCCAGCCCGGGAAUUUCAGUCUUUGUAUCUACAUCAGCAAAGCUUUCACUCCUGUUAUGAUGAAAAAGAUUUAGAGACUUUGAUGUGUAAAGACGUGUUGAGAGCGAUGCCAUGAGGCGGGAAGCGAAAACAAUCUCUCUCUCUCUCUCUCUCUCUCUCUCUCUCUCUCUCUCUCUCUCUCUCUCUCUCUCUCUUAAUAAAUAAACAGAAGUCAAAAGAAUCAUCAAAACAGGUAAUAAAAUACAUCUUGUGUCGAUAGAAAAAAAAAGUAUAAAAAAAAAUUUACCUGAUGCUUGAACGUGAUCCAAUCCCGGAUGUCAUUGUGUGUGUGUGUGUGUGUGUGUGUGUGUGUGUGUGUGUGUGUGUGUGUGUGUGUGUGAGAUUUACAUAGAUUUACAUAGAAAA